rnacentral:lncRNA from 1 species
CGUUCUUUGUGUUUUAUUUCCCACUGUGAAAAGGGCAAUAUUAAGCGAGCAAAUGAAAGGUCUUUGGCUUAGAGUCAGGGGACUGUUGCUUUCUUCCAGCUCUGCCACAUAUUAGCUCUGUGCUCCAGGACCGUGCUGUCUUUCUGGUUCUCAGUUUACCUGCUGCUAAGGUGGGCAUGAAAUGACAUCUUCCAUCUCAUCCAGUUCCCAGAAAAGGAGAGGACUGAGUGGCCCAGAUGGAAAGCAGAAAUGCAGACAGAGGCCUGUGGAAGAAGAAUCUUAAAAUAACUAAGCAACUUCAAGAAAACAAGUGAGGAUUUAUUGGAAACAACUGCCUUGCAAGAAGAAAAAAACACUCCAACUUAGUAAGAAAGAUGAGAGGGUACAAAAACAAGUCAGAUUAGAAUCACUACAAGAAAAUUAAAAAGAAAGAAAAAAAGAAAGGGGCUAGUCCUACAAAACGAAACAAAUAAACUGCCAGAGAGCAAAAGUCCAGGAUACCCAGGCCUCUGUCUUCCUUUUACCAGCCACGGGGUGAUCUAAACUUAUAUAUCUGAGCACUCACUGGCACUGAAAAAAAAAAAAAUCAUAGAAGUAGAGUGAGGAGUAAGGAAGAAGACCAAGAAGAUCUUUUCACUGGUGUGAACUGGUGGAAAAAUCAGGCCAUCUCUUCA